UACAGAGGCCUCGAGCGUUAGGCGGAAUCACUGGGCUUAAAGCGUGUGUAGGCGGAUUGGUAAGUACCUUGUGAAAUCCCACAGCUUAACUGUGGAACUGCUCGGUAUACUGCUGAUCUUGAGCCACUCAGGGGCUACCGGAACAAAUGGUGGAGCGGUGAAAUGCGUAGAUAUCAUUUGGAACGCCAAUGGUGAAAACAGGUUGCUGGGGUUGUGCCGACGCUGAGACACGAAAGCCAGGGGAGCAAACGGG
rnacentral:rRNA from 1 species